rnacentral:rRNA from 1 species
UACGAAGGGGGCUAGCGUUGCUCGGAAUCACUGGGCGUAAAGCGCACGUAGGCGGAUUGCUAAGUCAGGGGUGAAAUCCUGGAGCUCAACUCCAGAACUGCCUUUGAUACUGGCGAUCUCGAGUCCGGGAGAGGUGAGUGGAACUGCGAGUGUAGAGGUGAAAUUCGUAGAUAUUCGCAAGAACACCAGUGGCGAAGGCGGCUCACUGGCCCGGUACUGACGCUGAGGCACGAAAGCGUGGGGAGCAAACAGGG